rnacentral:rRNA from 1 species
GCCUGCGUCCAUCCUGAAAGCGCCUGAUCUCAGAAGCUAAGCAGUUCCGGGCCUGGUUAGUAUCUGGAUGGGGAAUGCCAGGUGUAAUAGGCU